CCUACGGGUUGCAGCAGUGGGGAAUAUUGCACAAUGGGGGAAACCCUGAUGCCGCGACGCCGCGUGAGUGAAGCAGUAAUUCGUUAUGUAAAGCUCUAUCAGCAGGGACGAAACUUACGGUACCUGCGUACUCCGCCCCGGCUAACUACGUGCCAGCAGCCGCGGUCAUACGUAGGGGGCAAGCGUUAUCCGGAUUUACUGGGUGUAAAGGGAGCGUAGACGGCAGUGCAAGUCUGGAGUGAAAGGCGGGGGCUCAACCCCCGGACUGCUCUGGAAACUGUACGGCUGGAGUGCAGGAGAGGUAAGUGGAAUGCCUAGUGUAGCGGUGAAAUGCGUAGAUAUUAGGAGGAACACCAGUGGCGAAGGCGGCUUACUGGACUGUAACUGACGUUGAGGCUCGAAAGCGUGGGGAGCAAACAGGAUUAGAUACCCGGGUAGUC
rnacentral:rRNA from 1 species